rnacentral:rRNA from 1 species
UACGGGGGGGGCAAGCGUUGUUCGGAAUUACUGGGCGUAAAGGGCGCGUAGGCGGUUGGAUAAGUCAGCUGUGAAAACCACGGGCUUAACUCGUGGCCUGCAGUUGAGACUGUCUGGCUUGAGUGUGGGAGAGGAGAGUGGAAUUCCUGGUGUAGCGGUGAAAUGCGCAGAUAUCAGGAGGAACACCGGUGGCGAAGGCGGGUCUCUGGGCAACAACUGACGCUGAGGAGCGAAAGCGUGGGGAGCGAACAGG